rnacentral:lncRNA from 1 species
CGACGCCGAGUCAACGCUAGUUCCAGUCCCAUGCGCGGCGCCGACUGUGCUCCUCUCUCCACUCGCCGUUCCCCCAAAAUGAAACCCUCGACACAACCACUGCCGGGGUCGUUCAAUUUCUCAGAGAUAAAUCUGACAAAGCAACCACUAUGGGAUACAUCAGGUGUGGUCAAAUCAUUUGAUUUUGUGUACGUAUUAUCUUAAGAAUUGGAGACUUGCUUUGAGGGAUGCCUUAUUUCCCUUUUGGAUCUGUGCAGAUGUGCAGUGAGGUGAUGUAUGUGUGGUGUAGAGAUGGGUGGUAGAGGAGUUG